rnacentral:snRNA from 1 species
GUGCUUGCUUUGGCAGCACACAUGCUAAAAUUGGAAUGAUACAGAGAUUAGCAUGGCCCCUGCCCUAGGAUGACACGCAAAUUCGUGAAGUGUUGCAUAUUUUU